UACGUAGGGUGCGAGCGUUAUCCGGAAUUAUUGGGCGUAAAGGGCUCGUAGGCGGUUUGUCGCGUCGGGAGUGAAAUCACUGGGCUUAACCGAGUGCUUGCUUUCGAUACGGGCAGACUUGAGGCAUUGAGGGGAGAACGGAAUUCCUGGUGUAGCGGUGAAAUGCGCAGAUAUCAGGAGGAACACCGGUGGCGAAGGCGGUUCUCUGGCAAUGUUCUGACGCUGAGGAGCGAAAGUGUGGGGAGCGAACAGG
rnacentral:rRNA from 1 species